rnacentral:tRNA from 1 species
GGUUUCUGGCUUAGCCGUAGAGCGCUCGCCUAGCAUGUGCGAGGCCCUGGGUUCGAUCCUCAGCACCA